rnacentral:lncRNA from 1 species
UUUUUGUAUAAAAACCACAAAGAAAGAUGCUUCUUUAACAGAUUCCUGCCGACCCCACCUUUAAACUCAAGUCCCGCCUCUGACAAAGUGUAUGACCAAUCAUAAUUAGGGAUUUUGUGUUUACAUCUGAAGUUCGGGAACAUGGCACCCCUGGCCACCCCAAAACAUGAAUAAAACAGUCGAACGGUUCACUUUGGUGAAUCACAGAAUCACAGAAUCUGCAGGUAAGAUGACGUCAAAAUGGUCUGGAGGGUGUUACGCCAUUCUAACCUCAAUUAACCUCCUUUUCAGACCGACAGCCAUUAAAAAUACUCAUAAUUUGUCUCAGUGUCUCAUUAUUCUGACUGCUGAGGAUGACUAAACACAAACAGCUGCUAAUGUUAGCUAAUCUUAGCAUUCGGUGUAACAUCUGCCUUCCUAAACUCAUUAUAGAAACCAUCUUGCACCCAGAUUUCGUAUAUUCGGAGAAUAACGUAAGCCUUAUGGGUAAUUUCUCUGAAUUGUAACACUCCUAAAAAAAGCUAUCUCUUUGAUGCUCUGUUCAGUUUAAGUGGAAACAGAUGCUCUUAUUGAGGGACCAUCCUGUCACCAAUGUUUCUGUCUUUAUACAGCCAACACAAACAGGGAGUGACAGUGAGACGCUCAAGAAUCUGCAGUGAAAUGUGAACACGAUGCAGAGCUGUAGCAUGAGGCUGUCGAACACACUCAAACUCCAUCACACGGGGGCUUUUGUUGCUGUAUGAGCUCCUCUUCAGAGACACACUUUGUUCCCUCACCCAGAUAUGGAGGUUUCUUCUCCCUCUCCAGAGAUGAGAGGUAAUUUUAACACACAGCACUUAGGUGACACCAGCUGGGACAGAGCUGCUAUUACAUGAUGUGCCGGGCUCCAAUUAAAUUUUACCACCUCCAGCUCAUGUGGGCACUCACAACCACA